UGAUGCGUUGUUGGGUAGGGGAGCGUUCUGUAAGCCUGUGAAGGUGUGUCGUGAGGCAUGCUGGAGGUAUCAGAAGUGCGAAUGCUGACAUAAGUAACGAUAAAGCGGGUGAAAAGCCCGCUCGCCGGAAGACCAAGGGUUCCUGUCCAACGUUAAUCGGGGCAGGGUGAGUCGACCCCUAAGGCGAGGCCGAAAGGCGUAGUCGAUGGGAAACGGGUUAAUAUUCCCGUACUUGGUGUUACUGCGAAGGGGGGACGGAGAAGGCUAUGUUGGCCGGGCGACGGUUGUCCCGGUUUAAGCGUGUAGGUGUGUGUUCCAGGUAAAUCCGGUUCACUUUAACACUGAGGCGUGACGACGAGGCACUACGGUGCUGAAGCAACAAAUGCCCUGCUUCCAGGAAAAGCCUCUAAGCAUCAGGUAACAUCAAAUCGUACCCCAAACCGACACAGGUGGUCAGGUAGAGAAUACCAAGGCGCUUGAGAGAACUCGGGUGAAGGAACUAGGCAAAAUGGUGCCGUAACUUCGGGAGAAGGCACGCUGACACGUAGGUGAAGUGAUUUACUCAUGGAGCUGAAGUCAGUCGAAGAUACCAGCUGGCUGCAACUGUUUAUUAAAAACACAGCACUGUGCAAACACGAAAGUGGACGUAUACGGUGUGACGCCUGCCCGGUGCCGGAAGGUUAAUUGAUGGGGUCAGCGCAAGCGAAGCUCCUGAUCGAAGCCCCGGUAAACGGCGGCCGUAACUAUAACGGUCCUAAGGUAGCGAAAUUCCUUGUCGGGUAAGUUCCGACCUGCACGAAUGGCGUAAUGAUGGCCAGGCUGUCUCCACCCGAGACUCAGUGAAAUUGAACUCGCUGUGAAGAUGCAGUGUACCCGCGGCAAGACGGAAAGACCCCGUGAACCUUUACUAUAGCUUGACACUGAACAUUGAGCCUUGAUGUGUAGGAUAGGUGGGAGGCUUUGAAGUGUGGACGCCAGUCUGCAUGGAGCCGACCUUGAAAUACCACCCUUUAAUGUUUGAUGUUCUAACGUGGACCCGUUACCCGGGUUGCGGACAGUGUCUGGUGGGUAGUUUGACUGGGGCGGUCUCCUCCUAAAGAGUAACGGAGGAGCACGAAGGUUGGCUAAUCCUGGUCGGACAUCAGGAGGUUAGUGCAAUGGCAUAAGCCAGCUUGACUGCGAGCGUGACGGCGCGAGCAGGUGCGAAAGCAGGUCAUAGUGAUCCGGUGGUUCUGAAUGGAAGGGCCAUCGCUCAACGGAUAAAAGGUACUCCGGGGAUAACAGGCUGAUACCGCCCAAGAGUUCAUAUCGACGGCGGUGUUUGGCACCUCGAUGUCGGCUCAUCACAUCCUGGGGCUGAAGUAGGUCCCAAGGGUAUGGCUGUUCGCCAUUUAAAGUGGUACGCGAGCUGGGUUUAGAACGUCGUGAGACAGUUCGGUCCCUAUCUGCCGUGGGCGCUGGAGAACUGAGGGGGGCUGCUCCUAGUACGAGAGGACCGGAGUGGACGCAUCACUGGUGUUCGGGUUGUCAUGCCAAUGGCACUGCCCGGUAGCUAAAUGCGGAAGAGAUAAGUGCUGAAAGCAUCUAAGCACGAAACUUGCCCCGA
rnacentral:rRNA from 1 species